CCUGAGCUGAAGUCGGACGCUUAACUGACUGAGCCACCCAGGUGCCCCAAUAAAUAAAUAAACUUUUAAAACCAUCUGGAAGGACUUUUAAAUUCUUAAAAUUCCCAAUAUACAUUGGCCCUGUUAGGGUUCUUAAGUGUUUAUUUCUUCUUGUAUCACUCCCUAAGGAGAAGCAUUCUCUCAGCUUAUCGAUUGUGUAACUUAUUCACACUAAAACUAGAUUUAGGGUAGGUCUUAGGUUUAAUGUUUUAUAAGGAGGAAUAUUGGUCAUGGUCUUUCCAGACCCUACUUCCAAUAUUUAUCCUUUUGUCAUGGAGUACCUCAUUCCUGUCUCCUAACAUGUCUGCCAAAUUUGGUUACUGUUCUCUGUAUCUCCUCAGAGGCCGAUCUACUCAGGAAAAUCAGAACCAGAGGAGAGAAAGGAAAGGCAGAGAUUUUUGUGAAGUCUGUGCAGUGUUACAUGGCCCUGGCCCAGCUCCUGGUGGAGCAGAACUUCCCAGCCAUUGCUAUCCACUGUGGGACAUCCUGGGAGGAGAGUUUAAAGACCUUUCAUGAUGAAUUCUUGUGGCCACCAACUUAUUUGGCUGAGGCAUGGACAUUGAGCAGGUAAACACUGCCAUCAACUGCCACCUGCCUGAGGAAUCCCACACCUACCUGGAUCAGGAGGCCUGAGCAGGCCAGUUCGCCCAAGGGCUUGGCCAUUACAUUUGUGUCAAAUGAAAACAAUGCCAAGAUCCUCAAUGAGGUGCAGGGUCACAUUGAGGUCAGUCGUAGUGAGCUGCCUGAUGAGAUGGAUAUUUCCUCCUCCUGUGAGUAUUGAUCUCAUGAAACUGGUUCCUCCAAGUCUUCAGAGUCUCCUCAUUCCUCAGUGACUUUGUCUUGAAACAAAGUGCAGGCAGUGGUGCCUGAUGCCUAAUGGGUGCCUGACAAGUUUAUGCCCUGAUCUUGAUGCCAUGUUGGGAUAUUUUGUUUAUUUCUAUGUGGGAUCUCUUUCCUCUUUCGUCCAAUUAAUUUUCUUUUUUGCACCUCAGUCUUUCCCCUGACCCCACACCCCACAUGAACAUCUGCAUGUAUAGGGGUCUGUGUUUCUGCCAGUCUAACUUAUCCUUUCCAUGCCUUAUUGUAACUGUUCUCUGCAGUUGCAGCCAUGGGAGAGGACGCACCCAUUCGAAGAGCCUGAUGGAGGUCUCACACCCACAAACCAUGAGAUCAUGCAUGACCUCAGCUGAAAUCAAGAGUCGGAUGCCCACCCGACUGACCCACCCAGGCACUCCUAGAGUUUCUUCUUCC